UAGUGGCGGACGGGUGAGUAACGCGUGGACUACGCGCGAUACAGGGGGAUAACAUUAGAAAUAGGUGCUAAUACCGCAUAAGCGCACGGUUCCGCAUGGAACAGUGUGAAAAACUCCGGUGGUAUACGAUGGAUCCGCGUCUGAUUAGCCAGUUGGCGGGGUAACGGCCCACCAAAGCGACGAUCAGUAGCCGGCCUGAGAGGGUGAACGGCCACAUUGGGACUGAGACACGGCCCAAACUCCUACGGGAGGCAGCAG
rnacentral:rRNA from 1 species